rnacentral:rRNA from 1 species
UAGGGAAUCUUCGGCAAUGGACGAAAGUCUGACCGAGCAACGCCGCGUGAGUGAAGAAGGUUUUCGGAUCGUAAAACUCUGUUGCUAGAGAAGAACAAGGACGUUAGUAACUGAACGUCCCCUGACGGUAUCUAACCAGACAGCCACGGCUAACUACGUGCCAGCAGCCGCGGUAAUACGUAGGUGGCAAGCGUUGUCCGGCUUUAUUGGGCGUAAAGCGAGCGCAGGCGGUUUCUUAAGUCUGAUGUGAAAGCCCCCGGCUCAACCGGGGGGGGUCAUUGGAGACUGGGAGACUUGAGUGCAGAAGAGGGGAGGGGAAUUCCAUGUGUAGCGGUGAAAUGAGUAGAUAUAUGGGGAAACACCAGUGGCGAAGGCGGCUCUCUGGACUGUAACUGACGAUGAGGCUCGAAAGCGUGGGGAGCAAACAGG